UGGCGGCAGGCUUAACACAUGCAAGUCGAACGACAUAGUGGCAGACGGGUGAGUAACGCGUGGGAACGUGCCUUUCACUACGGAAUAGCUCUUGGAAACGAGUGGUAAUACCGUAUACGCCCUCCGGGGGAAAGAUUUAUCGGUGAAAGAUCGGCCCGCGUUAGAUUAGUUUGUUGGUGGGGUAAUGGCCUACCAAGACUACGAUCUAUAGCUGGUCUGAGAGGAUGAUCAGCCACACUGGGACUGAGACACGGCCCAGACUCCUACGGGAGGCAGCAGUGGGGAAUCUUGCACAAUGGGCGAAAGCCUGAUGCAGCCAUGCCGCGUGAAUGAUGAAGGCCUUAGGGUUGUAAAAUUCUUUCGCUAGGGAUGAUAAUGACAGUACCUAGUAAAGAAGCCCCGGCUAACUUCGUGCCAGCAGCCGCGGUAAUACGAAGGGGGCUAGCGUUGUUCGGAAUUACUGGGCGUAAAGCGCGCGUAGGCGGGCUAUUAAGCCAGAUGUGAAAGCCCGGAGCUCAACUCCGGAACUGCAUUUGGAACUGGUAGCCUAGAGACCAGGAGAGGUUAGCGGAAUACCGAGUGUAGAGGUGAAAUUCGUAGAUAUUCGGUGGAACACCAGUGGGCGAAGGCGGCUAACUGGACUGGUACUGACGCUGAGGCGCGAAAGUGUGGGGAGCAAACAGGAUUAGAUACCCUGGUAGUCCACACCGUAAACGAUGAAUGCUAGUUGUCCGCGCGCAUGCGUGCAGGUGACGCAGCUAACGCAUUAAGCAUUCCGCCUGGGGAGUACGGCCGCAAGGUUAAAACUCAAAGAAAUUGACGGGGGCCCGCACAAGCGGUGGAGCAUGUGGUUUAAUUCGAAGCAACGCGCAGAACCUUACCCGCGUUUGACAUGCCCUGUUUGGUUACCAGAGAUGGUUUCCUUCAUUUAGUUGGCAGGUGCACAGGUGCUGCAUGGCUGUCGUCAGCUCGUGUCGUGAGAUGUUGGGUUAAGUCCCGCAACGAGCGCAACCCUUAUCCUUAGUUGCCAGCACGUCUGGGUGGGCACUCUAGGGAAACUGCCCGUGAUAAGCGGGAGGAAGGUGUGGAUGACGUCAAGUCCUCAUGGCCCUUACGGGUUGGGCUACACACGUGCUACAAUGGCAGUGACAAUGGGUUAAUCCCCAAAAACUGUCUCAGUUCGGAUUGGGGUCUGCAACUCGACCCCAUGAAGUCGGAAUCGCUAGUAAUCGCGUAACAGCAUGACGCGGUGAAUACGUUCCCGGGCCUUGUACACACCGCCCGUCACACCAUGGGAGUUGGUUCUACCCGACGGCCGUGCGCUAACCUCUCUGAGGAGGCAGCGGACCACGGUAGGAUAAGGGACUGGGGUGAAGUCGUAACAA
rnacentral:rRNA from 1 species